AGAUAAGAUCUAACUAACUCUGGCUGGCCUGGAACUGGUUAUGUAAACCAGGCUGGUCUAGAACUCACUGAGAUCCUCCUGCCUCUGCCUCACAAAGGCUGGAAUUAAAGGUAUCAGACCACAAACAUUAUUCUGGCAAUAACCAGAUCACCUCCCUGCCAAAUCUGUCCCAUUCAUACGAGACAUCUGGAGGGCUGUCCUUCCUAGACUGGAGAGAGGCACCUGCUUUAUUUAAAGAGUUGGAAGGAUUUUGGUCCCUGGCUUAGGCCACUGAUUUACAGUCAGUAGAAAUUCUCCUUCAUAAAUCUCUCUUCAAUUUGAUCUCCCCCCUCCCCUUUUUCCCUUCACAGCGAUGGCUUGGAGCCUCACCAACUUACAGCUAACUCUGGACCACGUCUGUCUGUACCUAAUAUAUAGAAUGGCGUCUUGUCUCUGCUAAAUCUCCAGCCUCAAGGUUUCUUCCUGAGGCCAGCUCUUAACAGCCUGCCCCACACUCUAGAACCCACCUUUUAUUUAUACCAAACCAAUUAGGAGUUUGCUAUCUUAGGCAUAAUUCCCUAGGGUUUGAUCAGAUACAUUUGAUUCAUUUCAGGAAAAUUUUUAUCAGAAAGGAACAUCUUUUUUAAAAAUCAGGUAUAUAUAGUGGCUAUUCCUGGUUGUCAACUUGACUAUAUCUGGAAUGAACUACAAUCCAGAAUUGGAAGGUUCACCUGUGAUCCUAAUAUGGAGACUGGGAGAUACAAGUUUCUGACCUGGAUCUUGGCAUGGA
rnacentral:lncRNA from 1 species